ensembl:snRNA U6 U6 spliceosomal RNA
GUGCUCCCGUCAGCGGCAUAUACACUAAAAUUGGAACAAUAAAAAGAAGAUUAGCAUGGCCCCUGCCCAAGGAUGCCAUGCGAAUUUGCGAAGUGACCCAUAUUUUA